CUGCCUCAGAUCUGGGAUUCAGCCCCACUCUCUUCCUUCUCUCCAGGCUCGGAAGGCCCCCACCAGCGGUCACCCACCUUUGUGAAGUGUUUUGAGAUCCACGCACAGAAAGUGCUACGUAGUAUGUUGUACUGAUUUAUUUGGAGGCUGCGAUUCCUAUUUCAUAGCCUGCGUUCAUGUCCUCAGAGCUCAGCUGCAGGUUAUUAAAGCUGGAACCUUCAAACCAGCAUCUUCCAUCUUACUGACUUUUGUGGUGUGGGAGGAUCCUCUGGGAUCUUGCUUUUUGUGCCCCUCCCUUUAUUGUUUCCCAUAUCCUCCCAGGUCCUGCAGAACACGGACUCUUCCUGCUAGGCAGGGCCAGACACUGCUCUCUCUAGCUGCCAGCGCUCCAGUCGCUGGCAAGAGGGCUCACUUGAGAGCAACGCUGGUGCGCUGUCCUCUCGCCUUGCCAGGCCUGGACACUCAUCCCCUGCAUAGCGGCACAUUGCCAUCACUGUAUUCAUGCCAGUUUGACUACUAGUAGCAAAAGCGCCACCAAGAGCGGUGGCUGGUGCCGAUUAUAGUGCCAGCAAGUGGUUUUGGGACUUGUCCUUGUCAAGUGUCCUGUCCAUGCAGUGGUGAAUGUGUGUGUGGCUAGGGUGGGGGAAGGGCACAAAUUUUGAGUCUGACUAAACUGUUUCCUCCUAAGGAAAUGUGUAGGCUUUGCUCUGGGCGGAAUCAGGAGCCCUGUCCCAUGUGUGUCCAACGCAUUGUUUGUGUAAUUGACAUCAAGGGACUGGCUGUGAUCCUUGCAGUACGCAGUACUUCGGGGAGAGGACAUCAAUGUUUACGUAGCACUGUAAUUUUUCAUGGUGCUUUUGAGUUUUUAAAAAACUUAAUAGUUGUGGCACCCAAGAGCUUAUAAUCUAAAUCAGACAAAUAUAGAACAUGGAAAUAAAAUCAUUGGGGAGGGGCAGCCAAGGGUUAAAAACGUACAAACUCAAACUUGUAAACACUAAGGCCAGGAGGGACCAUUCUGAUCAUCCAGUCUGACCUGCAUAGCACAGGCCAGAGAAUCUCCCCCAGUGACUCCUGCACUGAACCCAAUAACUUGUGACGGAGUUAGAGCACUUGGUUUAGCCCGACAGCCAGUUUUGAGUCAAAGGCUAAUGAUGGUGAAAAUAGCACGAGUCAUCAUGUAAUGGACGAACAGCAAGGCAAAUGGGGACGAGCAGCCAGCCCAAAAUGGGACUU